GUGAUUGUGGCGAAGUUGGUUAACGCACCGGAUUGUGGCUCCGGCAUUUCGUGGGUUCGAGCCCCAUCAGUCACCCCA
rnacentral:tRNA from 1 species